rnacentral:rRNA from 1 species
AACGAACGCUGGCGGCAGGCUUAACACAUGCAAGUCGAACGGGUGUAGCAAUACAUCAGUGGCAGACGGGUGAGUAACACGUGGGAACCUUCCUAGGGGUACGGAACAACUCAGGGAAACUUGAGCUAAUACCGUAUACGUCUGUGAAGAGAAAGAUUUAUCGCCCUUAGACGGGCCCGCGUCGGAUUAGGUAGUUGGUGGGGUAACGGCCUACCAAGCCGACGAUCCGUAGCUGAUCUGAGAGGAUGAUCAGCCACACUGGGACUGAGACACGGCCCAGACUCCUACGGGAGGCAGCAGUGGGGAAUCUUGGACAAUGGGCGCAAGCCUGAUCCAGCCAUGCCGCGUGAGUGAAGAAGGCCUCGGUUGUAAG